rnacentral:rRNA from 1 species
CAGCAGUCAAGAAUAUUAGUCAAUGCUCGAAAGAGUGAACUAGCUAACUGAAAUCUUAAUUACUAAAAAUAUUAAGAUAAGGUAAGAGAAAAUAAUGAUAUUAUCUUACUAUUAGUGUCGUCUAAAUUUGGUGCCAGAAGACUCGGUAAGACCUUAGACACGAACGUUAAUCGUCAUAAUCAGGCGUAAAGGGUGUGUAGGCGGCUUUAAAAAAUAUAUUUUUUAUUUUUAAUAAAGCUAGAAUCUAAAAGAGGGUAAGCUAAACAACAUAAUUAAUUAGGACUGACAACUUAUAAUAAUGUGGAGUACUAAAGGUUAAAGCUAUUUAUCUACUUAAGAUUGACGCUCAGAAACGAAGGGGAGAAUAAGAAACUUAGAUUAGAUACCUAAUUAUCUCUCUCAGUCAACGAUGAAUGGUAGUUAUUAAAAUAAUAUAAAAUUAGUAACGAGGUUAACACGAUGACCAUUCCGCCUUGUUAGUAAGACUGCAAAGUUGAAAACAAAAAAAUUAGUCGGUCUUGAAGCAAACGAAGUGAAGCAUGUUAUUUAAUUCGAUAAUCCGCA